rnacentral:antisense_RNA from 1 species
AUAACUAACUUCCUUCCUUCCUUCCUUUCUUCCUUCCUUCCAUCCUUCCUCCCUCCCUCCCUCCCUGCUUUCCCUUCCUCCCUGCCUUCCUUCUUCCUUCCUCUCUUUUUUCUUUUCUCCCUUCCUUCCUUCUUAAUAUGUUUUUGGCCUUUUCUUUAUAUAUGUGGCCUAUCAAUAUCAUGUGUUUGGAAAAGCAUAAACUUAAGGCAUCACCUUUACAGAAAAUAUCUUCCAUGGAAACAUCUAAAGUGAGGAAGUAAAGUUGCAUUCAUAGGCCUUGAACUUUUCCACAUCUCGAUUUUUACCCAUCAUCUCUGCAUAUUUUCCUAAGGCAGCCUUCAAAUGGUGAUGUUUCCUGUCAUCCAGAGUUCAGAAGUGCCUUCUCUUCAACCUUUCUGUGGAAUUCUAAACCACGUGAUAAAGGAGCUGGUGGCCACAGAUCAGCCCUGGGGUUCAGAGGGAUCCUGACGGCUACUCCUCAAGAUCCUCUCUGUUGUGAUUCAUCCCCCCCAGGCCCUACAGUUUCUCCUUCCUGACUCUUACAUUUCUUUGGAUGGCAUCACUAUUUACCUGUCUCCUCCCAUAGUUAGUUGCCAAGCACUGUGGAUUCUACCCCUCAGGGUCCAGACACCCAUUUUCCUUCCCACUGUUCCCUCCCCAUGGAGAAGCCUGUGGCUGACUGACAGCUCAACUUGGAGAAGGUGUUACCUGGGCCAGGUGGGGAAGGUAGGGUUGUUUGCAGAGCAAAGAAGUGAAGGAAGUAUUAACCCUUUGCAUGGCCUCCUGAGAAUCUGACAAGACGUAAAUAGCCAAGAAUAUCUGUGGAACUUAAUCAGUGAGUUACAAUAUUUAUCACUGCAAGUGUG